AGAGUUAAUUCAUUAAAAUACUGACUUACCAUCAUUUUUUUCUUGAGCAAUAGAGAGCAGCUCGUUUUUCAAAAGUUACAAUCUCAGAUCAUUUUAUUUGAGAAUAGUAAGGCCAAAGUGUCCCAUAUUUCUUUUGGCGUAUUUUUUGUCUUUUAUGUGCACCAAUAAAUCUUCCUCGAUUGUUGUUUUUAUAACGAACAUAGCCUUGCCCACUUUAAUGUUCCACUUCUUCAGAGUUCUGACUUUCUCUAACGAUGUCACAUCAUUUCCGCCAACUAGGUCCCGUAAAUCUUGCCCUUAGAGGUAUAACUCUAUGCAAGUUUGCCACGCUUUAUGUUGAUUUUUAGGCUUUUUCAAUCCGCCUCACUUCGCAAGUCGUCCAUAGUGAUUUGAAUAACCUCCUCGUUAUCAAACAAGCUUCUAUAGAACUCCACAAUCUCAUUGGGCACAAGCUCCGAAAUCUCAAAAAUCCAUCCUCGAUUGCCUCACUCUGAUAUUGAAUUUAAUACUUAAAAAGAUCUCUUUUAUUAAUAUAAAAUCUCUUAUAAAACAUUGAACACAAACAAAAAUGCCACUCAAAAUGAGAAUGAUCACUCUACUAACUAUUUUUCCAGCAGCACAAUUUUCUCUCAUUCACCCACUAUUUCUCUCCCUCAAUUAUACAUUCUCUCUCUAUAUCUCUUUCCUUCUCCACCUUCUUAUUUAUCACACACACACAAAUUUAUAUGGACAUUUC
rnacentral:lncRNA from 1 species